CCUACGGGAGGCAGCAGUGGGGAAUAGUGGGCAAUGGGCGCAAGCCUGACCCAGCAACGCCGCGUGAAGGAAGAAGGCUUUCGGGUUGUAAACUUCUUUUGACAGGGAAGAGGAGAAGACGGUACGUGUCGAAUAAGCCACGGCUAACGACGGGACAGCAGCCGCGGUAAUACGUCGGUGGCAAGCGUUGUCCUGAUUUACUGGGUGUAAAGGGCGUGUAGCCGGGUUGACAAGUCAGAUGUGAAAUCCUGCGGCUUAACCGCAGAACUGCCUUGUAAACUGUUGAUCUUGAGUACUGGUGAGGCAGCCGGAAUUCCUCGUGUAGCGGUGCAAUGCGUAGAUAUUAGGCGGAACCCCAGUGGCGAAGGCGGUCUGCUGGACAGCAUCUGACGGUGAUGCGCGAAAGCGUGGGGAGCAAACAGGAUUAGAUACCCGAGUAGUC
rnacentral:rRNA from 1 species